AUUGUAGUAGGUGCUUUUCAGACUUUUAAUUUUUAAAAAAUUUCAUGUCAUCUGUAUAAAAUAGCGCUGAGAAGUGCAGAUAGCAAGAGCACAGUCUG